rnacentral:lncRNA from 1 species
GCGCCGGUCACGUUGGACGCCUGCGCGUUAGGAGAUUCUGGAGCCAGAACAGCGGAAUUGCCUUCGCCCGCCCUGCCCCUCGCCUGCUUCAGAAGCUUCCAGGAACUCCCGGGUCGGCGACCCAGCCCGAGCCGCCUGGGGCCCCAAGGGAAGCUGAACGCCCUGUGGGCUCCUGGGAUGGUUCUUCCCGUUCUUUGCGCCGCCUUCACCCAUUGAAGAGCCUGUGCCCACCCUGCCCAGUCGCUCUCGGGGCCGCGGAGGAGCUUCCGCUGCCAUCUUCGGAUCCUGUGUUCCGCACGGGGGCUCCACCAGGGCAGGGAUGGUGCAGAAUGGGGAAAUGGAGAGAGAACCUGAAAGAGCCCCAAACUCGAGGACCUAUUGCUCCCCAAGAAUAACAUCUUCCAGAAGAACUAGACAGAAAACUAGGCGUCUGGGAACUCUGAAAUCCUUGGAGGAGUAGCAUCAUCAUGACCCUCUGUGUUCCUUUUGGCAAAGGACUUGCUCCCAUUGUUUGCUUGUUCCAUUGUCUGUCUGUUAAAUAAAUAAAACCCUUUUCAUAUAUCUUUAAACUUA